ACGAACGCUGGCGGCAGGCUUCACACAUGCCAGUCGCACGCACCUUUCGGGGUGAGUGGCAGACGGGUGAGUAACGCGUGGGAAUCUACCCUUCUCUACGGGAUAGCUCCGGGAAACUGGAAUUAAUACCGUAUACGUCCUGAGGGAGAAAGAUUUAUCGGGGAAGGAUGAGCCCGCGUUGGAUUAGCUAGUUGGUGGGGUAAAGGCCUACCAAGGCGACGAUCCAUAGCUGGUCUAAGAGGAUGAUCAGCCACAUUGGGACUGAGACACGGCCCAAACUCCUACGGGAGGCAGCAGUGGGGAAUAUUGGACAAUGGGCGCAAGCCUGAUCCAGCCAUGCCGCGUGAGUGAUGAAGGCCCUAGGGUUGUAAAGCUCUUUCAGGGGGGACGAUAAUGACGGUACCCACAGAAGAAGCCCCGGCUAACUUCGUG
rnacentral:rRNA from 1 species